GCAAAGCGACUCCGGUGUUUCCGACAUAAACAUCAUUUGCGUAGAGAGGGGACGUGCGUGUUUUAUAUGCCUCGACAAGACAUUAAAAUACGCACACGCCCCUUUUCAUGUGAAUGUAACGGGUGGUUUUGUGGCUAGGGGCGGCCGGUAUGGUAGCAGAAGAUGCUUUUUUUUCAGUUUUCCUUCAGUUGGGAAAGUGAAUUCAAGCAAAGUGCAAGGCGAACUCAGCCAAAGCUGGUGGGCCUCAGAUGUUGUUUGGUUGCUCAAGACGCAGCCGAUGAUGAUGGGCUGACUGCAAAAGGAGAUUUCAAUAUCAUAAAAAACCGUAUUAAGAGAAUCUCAUAUUGAGAAUCGUAAAGUUUUUACGACCGUUUAAUGGACUCUUGCAGUAAGCGUGAGUAUUUACGCGCUGCUUAAAAGCGGUAAAAUAUGGCCAAGUGGUGUCAGGGGACAAACACGCACACUCCAAUUCACGGGCCCUCUAAUACACGCAGCUGAUAGCUAACACGUUUGUGGCAGGAGAACGAAGACCGGAGAAUGGUCCGAGCUCCGAGGAUGAGCCAAAUAAGUGCCCGGAUAACAUUUAAAAGUAAAAACGUCAAUUUUGUAUAUUUUCUGGCCUGUCUUGCCUUUCAAUUACCGGUAAAGGGGCAGACAUUUGGCAAUUCCCAGAUAGUGACUGCAGCGCCAUCUAGCUGCGAUAUGCUGCACCAAUGCUUAACCACUUGCUGCGUGCAGUCAGUCAAGCAGUGCCCGGAAAGCAGUUCAAAUGCGUCCUUGCUAUUAUCUAUGUGGGCAGGCAAGGAGCGAAGGUGUUUACAGUUGCGAUUGCAAUGAAAAUGCGUUUGCCAAGCGAUAAAAGAGACGGCAAUAAAAGAUAAACGGUUGGAAUCAGAGUCGCUUUUGCUAGCAUGUGGGAGGAGUCGAGGCGCAUGUUGAUUGGCGAAAAAUGCGCUUUCGUUUUACCUAGGAUCUACAGCAUUAUUCUGCUAUGCCCAAGUACUUGAUCCUUUUUCGUGUUGUUUACAGUGUUUUGCCGAUCGGAUAUCGCAGUUGUGCUUUGGAUAUUUGCUGCAGGGCAAGACUUACUUCCUAGUCGUGCACACUCAACUAUGGAACUCUUAGAUUCCAUAGCAGAUUUAAAACUGGAAUAACGUCUCUGUCAGCAUGCUCUUGGCCGCUACCAGCAUCAGCCAUGCCAGUCCAGCAAAUCUGUGGCAUGGUGAUAUGGAUUCGCAUCGGCUUCGCCAAUGACGCGCUUGGACUGUGGAUAGGGCUAAAGGAGAGUGGUGCGGUGCAGCUGGGGACGACACUGUGUCACAUUUAUUUUCCAAUUUACGGGCAACUAAUGGCAAUAAUGAAUGCAUUUUAUAGGCCCAUUCAUAAUGUGCCGAGACAAUCGAAACUCGGCGCGAACGCGAAUUACACAAAUCGGGCAAUUUCUGUGCGACUUCCAGUCAAGCCAAAAAACAACCUCACAUUGAAUCACACAAAUGACUUUCAGGUCUCGCAAAAUGGAGCUGCGACCAGCCCCGUCGACCAUCUUUGGGAUGGUUGCUCAAGUUAAAUUAGAAAUGGUCGCAGCCACCAAGUAUUCAUCAUGGGACUGAGAGAAACACAGAACGCCGCAACUAAACUUAGGAUCGUUAAUCUGAAUGCCUGCAUUUUUGAGAAUUAUUUUUAACGCUUCUGCGGGAGAAGCUUCAAACCCAAAUUCAACACUUCAAUGCCGCGAACACGAGACGCUGACUGCUCGCCAAGUCUGAGGAGAGCCGACGGGGCUGCUUUCGGCCAUUGCAAGUUUUAUGGCCAUAUUAAUGGGUUUUUGAAGCGAUAAAGCGCGAAAUUUUUAGAGAGUGAACGUGAGCCCAAAAUGCUUUAAGCUUCGCUGUCGCAGACUCGUGUAAUUAUGAUCGAUUCAUGCGCAAAACCCGUCGGACGGGAUCAAAUCAUUAUUCAAUUAUGUUUUAUGCUGAUUUUAAUGUGAAUGGACAAAAGGGUUUUAUGGAUUGGCUAACUUUACUAUUCACGACUAUUAACUAAAUUUGUUUAAGUGCUCACAGAUUAUCCGCUUCUUUGAUUUAUAUUAUAUAAUGAUAAUAAUAAUAUGUAAAGAAAUGUGCAUGUUAGAUAACAGAAUAAAUUGAAAUACCAACCCUUGGUGCUUUGAA